GACGAACGCUGGCGGCGUGCUUAACACAUGCAAGUCGAACGCUGAAGCUCAGCUUGCUGGGUGGAUGAGUGGCGAACGGGUGAGUAACACGUGAGUAACCUGCCCUCUUCUUUGGGAUAACGCCCGGAAACGGGUGCUAAUACUGGAUAUCCACUGAUUCUCGCAUGGGGGUUGGUGGAAAGGUUUUUUCUGGUGGGGGAUGGGCUCGCGGCCUAUCAGCUUGUUGGUGGGGUGAUGGCCUACCAAGGCUUUGACGGGUAGCCGGCCUGAGAGGGUGACCGGUCACAUUGGGACUGAGAUACGGCCCAGACUCCUACGGGAGGCAGCAGUGGGGAAGAUUGCACAAUGGGCGAAAGCCUGAUGCAGCGACGCCGCGUGAGGGAUGGAGGCCUUCGGGUUGUAAACCUCUUUCGCUCAUGGUCAAGCCGCAGCUUUGGGUUGUGGUGAGGGUAGUGGGUAAAGAAGCGCCGGCUAACUACGUG
rnacentral:rRNA from 1 species